UCAGUAGCGGCGAGUGAGCGGCAAAGCUCAAUUUGAAAUCUGGCGUCUUUGGCGUCCGAGUUGUAAUUUGAAGAAGGUAUCUUUGGGCCCGGCUCUUGUCUAUGUUCCUUGGAACAGGACGUCACAGAGGGUGAGAAUCCCGUGCGAUGAGAUGGCCCGGGUCUAUGUAAAGUUCCUUCGACGAGUCGAGUUGUUUGGGAAUGCAGCUCUAAGUGGGUGGUAAAUUCCAUCUAAAGCUAAAUAUUGGCGAGAGACCGAUAGCGAACAAGUACAGUGAUGGAAAGAUGAAAAGAACUUUGAAAAGAGAGUGAAAAAGUACGUGAAAUUGUUGAAAGGGAAGGGCUUGAGAUCAGACUUGGUAUUUUGCAAGUUACUCUUUCGGGGGUGGCCUCUGCGGUUUACCGGGCCAGCAUCGGUUUGGAGCGGUAGGAUAAUGGCGGGGGAAUGUGGCACGACUUUGGUUGUGUGUUAUAGCCUCUGACGAUACUGCCAGCCUAGACCGAGGACUGCGGUUUUUACCUAGGAUGUUGGCAUAAUGAUCUUAAGUCGCCCGUCUAAAAAACGGCAAGCACA
rnacentral:rRNA from 1 species